AUUGAACGCUGGCGGAAUGCUUUACACAUGCAAGUCGAGCGGCAGCGCGGCCUUCGGGCUGGCGGCGAGCGGCGAACGGGUGAGUAAUGCAUCGGAACAUGCCCAGUCGUGGGGGAUAACACUUCGAAAGAAGUGCUAAUACCGCAUACGUCCUGAGGGGGAAAGCGGGGGAUCGCAAGACCUCGCGCGAUUGGAGUGGCCGAUGUCAGAUUAGCUAGUUGGUGGGGUAAAGGCCUACCAAGGCGACGAUCUGUGGCUGGUCUGAGAGGAUGAUCAGCCACACUGGGACUGAGACACGGCCCAGACUCCUACGGGAGGCAGCAGUGGGGAAUUUUGGACAAUGGGGGCAACCCUGAUCCAGCCAUUCCGCGUGAGUGAAGAAGGCCUUCGGGUUGUAAAGCUCUUUCGGCAGGAACGAAACGGUGGGCUCUAACAUAGUCCGCUAAUGACGGUACCUGAAGAAGAAGCACCGGCUAACUACGUG
rnacentral:rRNA from 1 species